rnacentral:rRNA from 1 species
CGCUGGCGGCAAGCUUAACACAUGCAAGUCGAACGGAUUUUUAUCAUAGCUUGCUAUGAUAAAAAUUAGUGGCAGACGGGUGAGUAAUGCAUAGGAAUCUACCUAGUAGUAUGGGAUAGCCACUAGAAAUGGUGGGUAAUACUGUAUAAUCCCUGCGGGGGAAAGAUUUAUCGCUAUUAGAUGAGCCUAUGUUAGAUUAGCUAGUUGGUAGGGUAAAGGCCUACCAAGGCAGUGAUCUAUAGCUGGUCUGAGAGGAUGAUCAGCCACACUGGAACUGAGAUACGGUCCAGACUCCUACGGGAGGCAGCAGUGGGGAAUAUUGGACAAUGGGCGCAAGCCUGAUCCAGCUAUGCCGCGUGAGUGAGGAAGGCCUUAGGGUUGUAAAACUCUUUCAGUGGGGAAGAUAAUGACGGUACCCACAGAAAAAGUCCCGGCAAACUC